rnacentral:rRNA from 1 species
AUUGAACGCUGGCGGCAUGCUUUACACAUGCAAGUCGAACGGUAACAGGGAGCUUGCUCCGCUGACGAGUGGCGAACGGGUGAGUAAUGCGUCGGAACGUGCCGAGUAGUGGGGGAUAACGCAUCGAAAGGUGUGCUAAUACCGCAUACGUACUGAGGUAGAAAGUGGGGGACCUUCGGGCCUCACGCUAUUCGAGCGGCCGACGUCGGAUUAGCUAGUUGGUGAGGUAAAGGCUCACCAAGGCGACGAUCAGUAGCGGGUCUGAGAGGAUGAUCCGCCACACUGGGACUGAGACACGGCCCCGACUCCUACGGGAGGCAGCAGUGGGGAAUUUUGGACAAUGGGCGCAAGCCUGAUCCAGCCAUGCCGCGUGUCUGAAGAAGGCCUUCGGGUUGUAAAGGACUUUUGUCCGGGAGCAAAUGCUGGUGGCUAACAUCCACCGGAGCUGAGAGUACCGGAAGAAUAAGCACCGGCUAACUACGUGCCAGCAGCCGCAGUAAAAC